GAAACCUUUGUCAAGCAAUACCAAGGAGCAAUCAAAGGUCACCUGGGCACCAGGAAUUUUUCCGUGGAGGCUGAAGCUCACAACUCUACAAGAGAAUCCAUGGUGAUCUCUAAAGUCAGUACACAUGGUGAGCUCCACCCAGCUGCUCUUGCAACAUCUCAAUCUUGCUGUGACAUCGCAGGGACUCAACCAAGUCUUCUGGAGUGCCCUUGAAAAUUUUCAAGAGAAAAAUUAUUGACUCAAGAUGAAGAAGAAUUGGAACAAGAAUGCACUUGCUUUCGG